rnacentral:rRNA from 1 species
GAUUAUGGCUCAGGAUGAACGCUGGCGGCGUGCCUAACACAUGCAAGUCGAACGGGUUUAACGCUUCCGAAGCUUCGGCAGAGGAUUGUUAAAACCUAGUGGCGGACGGGUGAGUAACGCGUGGGUAACCUGCCUCAUACAGGGGGAUAGCAGUUGGAAACGACUGGUAAUACCGCAUAAGCGCACGGUACCGCAUGGUAUAGUGUGAAAAACUCCGGUGGUAUGAGAUGGACCCGCGUCCGAUUAGCCAGUUGGCGGGGUAACGGCCCACCAAAGCGACGAUCGGUAGCCGGCCUGAGAGGGCGGACGGCCACAUUGGGACUGAGACACGGCCCAGACUCCUACGGGAGGCAGCAGUGGGGGAUAUUGCGCAAUGGGGGAAACCCUGAUGCAGCGACGCCGCGUGGGUGAAGAAGUAUUUCGGUAUGUAAAGCUCUAUCAGCAGGGAAGAAAAUGACGGUACCUGACUAAGAAGCCCCGGCUAACUACGUGCCAGCAGCCGC